rnacentral:lncRNA from 1 species
CACCGCCCCCACCCCUCCCAGCGCAGGGGCAGCUUGGAGCAGAGGCAGCACUGGCCACCACUGCGGGGGCAAGUCAGCGUCAAGAGAGUCCCUGAGUGAGAAGGCCCAGAUAAGCCCAGGCCCCCCAGGCCAGCGGACAGGCACAGGCAGGGCCUACAGAGGUGCCAAGGCCCCAGGCCAGUUGUGCUAGGAGCCUGGACCUGCUCUUCCACACCCCCAUCCCGCCCCUACUGCACAGGCUUGUGCCUUGGUGCCCCCUGGAGGCAGCAGGGAGGAGGCUUCUCAGGCAGAAGUCUUAAGUUGCAUCCCAUUCCCCAGAAUCCCCAGGAGGGAGAAGAGGGAUGGGCUGCCCCUCCUUCCUGCCAGAGCCACAGCUCAAGGGCAGUGGGAUGGCCCUGCACCCAGCCCAGGUACCCCUUCCUCUGUGCCGACCAUGCUGUCCUUUGGCUCCGAGGAGGCCCUGAGCACUGCCCACCCCCACACCUUGGAGGGAGCAGACGGAGGGGGUGAGUACUGCACAGAGCCUGCCUGGAGGUGCAGACUCAUGCACUCAGCCCUGAAGAGGUGAGAGAGGCUGGAUCUUAACUGUGGUCCAAUGGGCAUAUUAUGAGUGGUCCUUGUCCCUGCCUGCUAUGGGGUAACCCUGACCCAGCUAGCGUCCCUGACAACAUGAUACAAAAACACAGAACUCUAGCGGGAUACAGAGAUGUGUGCACAGCUGGCAGGAGCACUGGCCACCUCCCAACCUGUUCCCCAUAGCUUACUCCUGGAUGUAGCCUGGAGGGACUGCUGGGCUGGGGAGGGACUGGCCAUGGAGCAGGGAGCUGGAUGCCAGCGGGACCUCAGACCUGGACUGCAGCAUCUCUUUGGUUAUCGGUUGUGUGUGUGCUCAGAAGGGAGGAGGCCUUCCCCUUGUUACAUCUCUCUCUCCAUAUAUUCUCCCGGACUCAUCAGUUUGGGGGGCGAAAAGUCCACCACAUGGUCUUGGCGACAAACCACUGGGGAUGUCACCCCAGCUGCAGAGCUGGAAGCUUGUGCCGGAGGGGAAACUGGGUGAGCAAGGGAGGGGCGAGGCCUGCCUGUGCUCUCCUCACCACUGCUGGGACCAGAAAAGAUGGGCACCUGAUAGCUCAGCUGGGCAGUCCCAACGCAUUCCCACUCAGCCAAGGGCCUGAGCCCCAGGCCAUUCUGGUUGUGUCUUUUCAGAGCAGUGAGACCUAAAACAGAUGGGAAGAAGUCAUGAACUUGGGAGUCAGGCCGCUUCACCUGUCUUCUCACCCCACAGGCUCCCCUGAGCCUGGCCCAGCCAGCAGCUCACCCAGCCUCAGGCCUCCUGGGGGGCAGCAGCCACACUGCCCGUGGCGCUCUGCGCCAAGCACUGUCCAGGGAUAGUCCCGCUGAUGUUGUGGAUGGCACCAUAGGUCUGCUGCUGCUGCUGCUGCGGAGACAGUGCUGUCCUCUCCGAGGCCAAGCCGUUCAGAAUCCGAGGCACGUAGGGCUGUCAGCAAAUGGAUUUGUGCUUGGCCUGGACAGGCAUGAGCUUCCACACUGCAUCCCUCCCCUCCUGCCCUUCUCCCAACAGGACACAGACAGUGGCCAUAAAGGACAUAUGAAGAAACACCGACAUCCAUUUAGGACAUUAAGACCGAAAAUAUGACACCUGCAGAAUUUCCUAGCAGCCAGGGCAAAAGAGAAAGCACAGUUAUACAGUUCUCAUGAUCACAGAAGGAAGCACAAGAGAGCAGUUCUCAGAGGAAACUAAACUUCCUAGCCCUGGAUCCUAGGAGGAUUUCUCACUUUGUAGAAGAAACAAGUCUACCUAUAUAGGGGGGCUUAGAACGCUGCCCUGGGACCCCUGGGAUGCUCAACAUAUCUGUGUGAGUCUCAUUUUGAGUCUCAUUUCCUCCCAAUCCCAGGCUCCAGCCACUGACCCCAGGCACAGAGCCCUGCCAUACUCCUCCUGAGACCCUGGCUGUGAGGGCUUGACAUCAUCCACCUGUCCUGCAUGUUCCCUGCUUGGCCAGCAUAGCCACAGGUGUGUCGCUGGGUAAUGAGUCCUUCUGAGGCCCUCCCUUGUUUGGAACUUGUCCAAGGACAGACACCGAUAAGAGAGCCUGACACCUGGGAGGCAGCCACCAGAAAGAACCCUGCAGAUGAGGUCGGCUCUGUCCUGGCCACGGCUGUCAGGAAGGCUGGUGACUACAGCUCUGGAACCCUGGGGCUCUGCUUUCCCUUCCCAGCCCCACCCUAGGAGCAGGACCCUGGAGGCUGUGUGCAGAGAGAACUAGGAAGGCAAGGAGCCCUGUGUCUCUCUACCAUGGGGUCUUCCUCUGAAGCAGGUGCAAUGUUCAUUUCUUGAAUUCAAAGGGAAGUCUGCCUGACACCCUCUUGGAGCCUAGUGGAGGACCUCGCACAGGCAGGUGCAUCGCUGAUGACAAACCUUUGUCAAACCCUAGCGCCUUACCAUGUGCCUUCACUAAAGCCCCAAACUCACCAGGCAUUAAAUAUGCAGAGAAGGAAAGAGAGCAGGGAACUGAAACCAAGGGGGAUGGCCAUGAAUCGAGACAAGACUCUAUCUCCUCAACAGUUUCAAAUAUGCAGGUUAAAAUACCCAGGGGGACCAGGAUUCCUUCUCUGCCAUUAAUUCACAAACUUGCCUGCCAUGUGAUCUUAGCAAGAGAUGAUCAAAGAUUUGCCGGGGCCCAUCUGGUUGGGACUGUUACAACCAAAGCAAAAAAAAGGGCGACAAGCUCAGAGGCUGAGGGGCACAGCUUACUGUGAACGGUGGGGGCAUGUGGGCCUCUGCCUCACUUCCUUUGUCACUUGCAGGCUCUUCUGUCUGCAGAUAACAGCAAAAACUUGCGAUGAUAAACAAAACUGAUCUCUGUGAACAAACACCCUCCAAACACACAGACUAUUAACACCCGGAAUAAUAGUACCAGCUGGCACCAAGCUCCCCAGCAGCCCGAGAGAGGAUGGGGUGGGGGAGUGCAGGGAUGAGGGGAGGAAGGGAAGCUACACAUGGCACCCAACCACCCACGCCUUUCCCAUGGAGAAGCAGAAUCUGGAGAAGGCUGCUGCUGUGUUGAUACAGACAAGGGUGGGCGGGGUUGACAGCGAGCCCGUCCCACCAUCUGUUCCUCCCAGGGCUUGACCGGGCAGUGGGGUCGGGGGCCUUUACUUUGUAGUUCAGAGGGCUGAGGUGCUUGAAGCAUCCAAAGCAGGUGUGAGCCAGGCAGACCAGGAUGGUGAGCAGCAGCACCAGGAAGGUGAACAGAGUGGCGGGGGCCUUCAUACCUGGUGAUAGAGGGUGGCUAGCCUUGGGGUGGGCAGGGAGGGGCCACCACCUACCCUCACCCUGCUGAGGAAGGGGCCGCACCUGGUGUGGAAACUGCCCGUGACUUCUCCCUCAGGCAGAAAAUAAAGGUAAGGCCUAACCCCCCACCCCCACCCCUCAACUCCAGCAGCAAGGAUGGUGUCUUCACAGCCAGGAACACACAGAGGGACCCACUGAAUGACUGGCAUCAUCCCUGGUCAGAUUUCAGGCACUGGGGUGCCAAGUCAAUGGCAAUUCUUCAGCCUCCUUGCUGGUCCGUUCCCUCCAGUCUCCAGUGCCCUGGGCUAGAGAGGAUGGACCCUCCCACACCCCCAGUCUGACCGGGGCAGACGUGUCUUUCCCCCAGGAGUGUCAGUUUUCUCUCCUCCACGUCCCCACCUCUUCCAUGCCAGGAGGUACAAGGAGCUGGGCCCAACCACCAGCCUCAAAGGGCAAAUCUGGAUCAGCUUCCCCAUUUCCUCUGGUUCAGUCCCUGCACAGCUGAUAAAGGCACUAUCUUCUCUCCAGGGAUGUAUGGGACAAUUGACCAGGCCUUCACAAGGGUUACACCUGCACUCGGGCUAGCUUAGGAGCCAGGCUGUCAACACCACACCCAACCAGCCCCUCACCCUGGGUAUCAUGUUUUGAUUGGACACCUAACCAGUCCUCACUCUGGGCACCACAUUCUGACUAGACAUGUAACCAACCCUCAUUCUGGGUACCACGUUCUGAUGGGACACCUAACCAGCCCUCACUCUGGGCACCACAUUCUGACUGGAUGCCAUGCUGAUGCUGUGAAAGCAAUGAGGGAUCUGACUGGCUGGUGGGGAUGCAGGGCUGGGAGGCCAAGGGCUGGCCCCAGGUCAGAAGGGCUGCUCACCCAGGCGCAGGAAGGAAAAGAAGUAGAGCCAGAAGAGGCACAGGAUGGGGGCUGCCAAGGCCUGGUUCACAGCGGCAAAGUGGAUCCCCUUCUCCAGCUUGGCUGGGAGGUAGACGAAGUAGAGGUUGUGCCGGUCCACCAUGUGCUUGAGCAGGAUGUAGAUGAGGCCAAAUGGCGCGAUGAUGGGACAAGUGAUGCUGUAGGCCACGAUGACAGUGAAGACACACAGCAUCCAUGCAUACAUGGCUCCAAACUCGUACUGGAAGGCCUGGUUCUGCUUGACAUUCCUGCGGUCAGCAGCCGUCUUGGCCAUGAUCAUGCGGAAG